rnacentral:rRNA from 1 species
CGAGCGAACGGACGAGAAGCUUGCUUCUCUGAUGUUAGCGGCGGACGGGUGAGUAACACGUGGAUAACCUACCUAUAAGACUGGGAUAACUUCGGGAAACCGGAGCUAAUACCGGAUAAUAUUUUGAACCGCAUGGUUCAAAAGUGAAAGACGGUCUUGCUGUCACUUAUAGAUGGAUCCGCGCUGCAUUAGCUAGUUGGUAAGGUAACGGCUUACCAAGGCAACGAUGCAUAGCCGACCUGAGAGGGUGAUCGGCCACACUGGAACUGAGACACGGUCCAGACUCCUACGGGAGGCAGCAGUAGGGAAUCUUCCGCAAUGGGCGAAAGCCUGACGGAGCAACGCCGCGUGAGUGAUGAAGGUCUUCGGAUCGUAAAACUCUGUUAUUAGGGAAGAACAUAUGUAUAAGUAACUGUGCACAUCUUGACGGUACCUAAUCAGAAAGCCACGGCUAACUACGUGCCAGCAGCCGCGGUAAUACGUAGGUGGCAAGCGUUAUCCGGAAUUAUUGGGCGUAAAGCGCGCGUAGGCGGUUUUUUAAGUCUGAUGUGAAAGCCCACGGCUCAACCGUGGAGGGUCAUUGGAAACUGGAAAACUUGAGUGCAGAAGAGGAAAGUGGAAUUCCAUGUGUAGCGGUGAGAUGCGCAGAGAUAUGGAGGAACACCAGUGGCGAAGGCGACUUUCUGGUCU